rnacentral:lncRNA from 1 species
UUCAAUAGCUAACAAACUCAAAUGAUGGUUAACAGAGAUAUUAGGGGUUUGUUUAAGAACAUGAAAAUAUAAAUAACGCAGAUAAAGUAAUUGGAUUCACCAAGGUAGAUAGUUUUGCUGGGAUUAGAGUUUCGUUGUUUGACCUCUACGUAUUCUAUUGAUUCACAUACAAAUAUCGUUCUAUGCAAUUGAUUCCUCCCACCAUUUCUUAUCUUACUACCCAGUCCCCCGGUGUAGAAGAUUAUCA